UGCUGACAUAAUAUAUGGGGGUCUUGUUUCUGCUGACCAGAUCAAGGAAGGAAACCCCAAUGCUGUUGGUCCUGACCCUUCAGUGUUAAAUGUUGGGACUAAUCUUUGGAUUCCUCUUCCUUGCACUUGCUUUAAUGGGACUGACAAUAAUCUUCCUGCUAUUUAUAUGUCAUAUGUUGUUAGAGCUGUUGAUACUCUUGCAGGGAUUGCUGCUAGGUACUCUACCACUCUUACUGACCUUAUGAAUGUUAAUGCUUUGGGAGGUCCUUCUAUUAAGGAGGGUGACAUUCUUUCCAUUCCUUUGUCUGCUUGUACGUCUAGCUUCCCAAGAUCUGCCUCGGAUUAUGGCUUAUCUGUUGCGAAUGGGAGCUAUUCUAUUACAGCUAGCCACUGUGUGCAAUGCAGUUGUGGACCAGGGGGUCGGAAUUUGUACUGCAUGCCAGCUUCUUUAGCAGUUUCUUGCUCAAGCAUGCAGUGCAAGAACAGCAAUCUCAUGCUCGG
rnacentral:misc_RNA from 1 species